rnacentral:sRNA from 2 species
CAUAUUCAACAGCCGAAUUUCCGAUGGAAAACGGGGGAACCAUAUAGUUGCCGUCUUAAAGGAUUAUCGAAUGAAAGCUAGCACUCGAUGACUCUCGGCAGCAACUCGGGGUGAAUUCUGCGCAGGACAUGCUGUUCUGCCGCAGAUAGGGCGAUCUAUCCAGCCCGAAUCCGACAGCUAACCUCGUAGGCUGCAUGGACAGAACUC